GUGCUCGCUUCGGCAGCACAUAUACUAAAAUUGGAACUAUAUAGAGAAAGAUUAGCAUGGUCUCUGUACAAGGAUGACACGCAAAUUUGUGAAGCUUUGUAUAUUUUU
rnacentral:snRNA from 1 species